GACGAACGCUGGCGGCGUGCCUAAUACAUGCAAGUAGAACGCUGAAGGAGGAGCUUGCUCUUCUGGAUGAGUUGCGAACGGGUGAGUAACGCGUAGGUAACCUGCCUGGUAGCGGGGGAUAACUAUUGGAAACGAUAGCUAAUACCGCAUAAGAGUAGAUGUUGCAUGACAUUUACUUAAAAGGUGCAAUUGCAUCACUACCAGAUGGACCUGCGUUGUAUUAGCUAGUUGGUGGGGUAACGGCUCACCAAGGCGACGAUACAUAGCCGACCUGAGAGGGUGAUCGGCCACACUGGGACUGAGACACGGCCCAGACUCCUACGGGAGGCAGCAGUAGGGAAUCUUCGGCAAUGGACGGAAGUCUGACCGAGCAACGCCGCGUGAGUGAAGAAGGUUUUCGGAUCGUAAAGCUCUGUUGUAAGAGAAGAACGAGUGUGAGAGUGGAAAGUUCACACUGUGACGGUAUCUACCA
rnacentral:rRNA from 1 species